rnacentral:lncRNA from 1 species
AUUUGUUUAAAAUUCUAAUGUAGUUUUGAAGUAUUCACACGUAUGUAUCAUUUUCUUUAUAACAAAAGCGAAAGCACUCUUCAAAGUCCAAAAUGCUGAAAUGCAAAGGGGAGACCUUGCUUCCUGACGUAGUACUAUCUUUUCUGAUUUAUCUCUCUCCUAGGAAGUAGGUAAUUUAAGUAGAAGGCCAAAAUAUUAAAAAUAGUACUCAGUGAUUUAUAAAGACUAAAACUGAGUUAACUUGUUUUAUAGAGGUAGAUUUUGGGCUAGAUUUUCAUUCUGUAAUAGUGUUGUGGUUUUACCUCUUUUCUUUUUUUCUUUCUUUUUUCAGGAGAUAUAACACAGGCAGUGUAGGUGUUGUCUAGAAAUGAAUUCACCAUAAGAUGGCCCCCUCUUCUAUUUAGAGAUUCCUUAGGGGAAAGCACUACCAGUGGCUUUGGUUUUGAUCUACGUAAAGGAAGUAUGACUUACAGAGCGCUG